rnacentral:rRNA from 1 species
GAUGAACGCUAGCGGCAGGCUUAACACAUGCAAGUCGAGGGGUAGAAGGAGCUUGCUCCUUUGAGACCGGCGCACGGGUGCGUAACGCGUAUGCAAUCUACCUUUUGCAGAGGGAUAGCCCAGAGAAAUUUGGAUUAAUACCUCAUAGUAUGUGAGGAUGGCAUCAUUUUCACAUUAAAGUCACAACGGCAAAAGAUGAGCAUGCGUCCCAUUAGCUAGUUGGUAAGGUAACGGCUUACCAAGGCUACGAUGGGUAGGGUCCUGAGAGGGAGAUCCCCCCACACUGGUACUGAGACACGGACCAGACUCCUACGGGAGGCAGCAGUGAGGAAUAUUGGACAAUGGGCGCAAGCCUGAUCCAGCCAUGCCGCGUGCAGGAUGACGGUCCUAUGGAUUGUAAACUGCUUUUGUACAGGAAGAAACACUACUUCGUGAAGUAGCUUGACGGUACUGUAAGAAUAAGGAU